rnacentral:lncRNA from 1 species
GAUAGAUGCUUAAUACACUUUUGCUGAGAGAAUGGAUUCCCUCUAUUGUGCGCUAUACUAUAUAAGGCUGAAUCCCACCUAGGAAGCAGAAAGAAGGAAAGGGCUUCAAAUGAAAGAAGAAUAAAUUUGAGAAAAAAAUUUGGUUCACCCAUCUUGUUAAUGGAGGAUUUGAUCUAGCUUCUCAGUAUAGGAGCUAGCAAAUAAAGAUAGUACAUUUGAUGUUGCAGUACCUUCCCUCCCCCAGGUAAGGAUUUUUCACUUUUUAAA